AUACAUGCAAGUCGAGCGGACAGAUGGGAGCUUGCUCCCUGAUGUUAGCGGCGGACGGGUGAGUAACACGUGGGUAACCUGCCUGUAAGACUGGGAUAACUCCGGGAAACCGGGGCUAAUACCGGAUGCUUGUUUGAACCGCAUGGUUCAAACAUAAAAGGUGGCUUCGGCUACCACUUACAGAUGGACCCGCGGCGCAUUAGCUAGUUGGUGAGGUAAUGGCUCACCAAGGCAACGAUGCGUAGCCGACCUGAGAGGGUGAUCGGCCACACUGGGACUGAGACACGGCCCAGACUCCUACGGGAGGCAGCAGUAGGGAAUCUUCCGCAAUGGACGAAAGUCUGACGGAGCAACGCCGCGUGAGUGAUGAAGGUUUUCGGAUCGUAAAGCUCUUUUGUUAGGGAAGAACAAGUACCGUUCGAAUAGGGCGGUACCUUGACGGUACCUAACCAGAAAGCCACGGCUAACUACGUGCCAGCAGCCGCGGUAAUACGUAGGUGGCAAGCGUUGUCCGGAAUUAUUGGGCGUAAAGGGCUCGCAGGCGGUUUCUUAAGUCUGAUGUGAAAGCCCCCGGCUCAACCGGGGAGGGUCAUUGGAAACUGGGGAACUUGAGUGCAGAAGAGGAGAGUGGAAUUCCACGUGUAGCGGUGAAAUGCGUAGAGAUGUGGAGGAACACCAGUGGCGAAGGCGACUCUCUGGUCUGUAACUGACGCUGAGGAGCGAAAGCGUGGGGAGCGAACAGGAUUAGAUACCCUGGUAGUCCACGCCGUAAACGAUGAGUGCUAAGUGUUAGGGGGUUUCCGCCCCUUAGUGCUGCAGCUAACGCAUUAAGCACUCCG
rnacentral:rRNA from 1 species